rnacentral:rRNA from 1 species
GUGCCAGCAGCCGCGGUAAUACGUAUGUCGCAAGCGUUAUCCGGAUUUAUUGGGCGUAAAGCGCGUCUAGGCGGCUUAGUAAGUCUGAUGUGAAAAUGCGGGGCUCAACCCCGUAUUGCGUUGGAAACUGCUAAACUAGAGUACUGGAGAGGUAGGCGGAACUACAAGUGUAGAGGUGAAAUUCGUAGAUAUUUGUAGGAAUGCCGAUGGGGAAGCCAGCCUACUGGACAGAUACUGACGCUAAAGCGCGAAAGCGUGGGUAGCAAACAGGAUUAGAAACCCGCGUAGUCC